rnacentral:rRNA from 1 species
AGAGAUGUGGAGGAACACCAGUGGCGAAGGCGACUCUCUGGUCUGUAACUGACGCUGAGGAGCGAAAGCGUGGGGAGCGAACAGGAUUAGAUACCCUGGUAGUCCACGCCGUAAACGAUGAGUGCUAAGUGUUAGGGGGUUUCCGCCCCUUAGUGCUGCAGCUAACGCAUUAAGCACUCCGCCUGGGGAGUACGGUCGCAAGACUGAAACUCAAAGGAAUUGACGGGGGCCCGCACAAGCGGUGGAGCAUGUGGUUUAAUUCGAAGCAACGCGAAGAACCUUACCAGGUCUUGACAUCCUCUGACAAUCCUAGAGAUAGGACGUCCCCUUCGGGGGCAGAGUGACAGGUGGUGCAUGGUUGUCGUCAGCUCGUGUCGUGAGAUGUUGGGUUAAGUCCCGCAACGAGCGCAACCCUUGAUCUUAGUUGCCAGCAUUCAGUUGGGCACUCUAAGGUGACUGCCGGUGACAAACCGGAGGAAGGUGGGGAUGACGUCAAAUCAUCAUGCCCCUUAUGACCUGGGCUACACACGUGCUACAAUGGACAGAACAAAGGGCAGCGAAACCGCGAGGUUAAGCCAAUCCCACAAAUCUGUUCUCAGUUCGGAUCGCAGUCUGCAACUCGACUGCGUGAAGCUGGAAUCGCUAGUAAUCGCGGAUCAG